rnacentral:rRNA from 1 species
UUGACCUCAAAUCAAGCAAGACUACCCGCUGAACUUAAGCAUAUCAAUAAGCGGAGGAAAAGAAACUAACAAGGAUUCCCCUAGUAACUGCGAGUGAAGCGGGAAAAGCUCAAAUUUAAAAUCUGGCAGUGGUUCACUGUCCGAGUUGUAAUCUAGAGAAGU